ACGUAGGGUGCAAGCGUUGUCCGGAAUUACUGGGUGUAAAGGGAGCGCAGGCGGAUCGGCAAGUUGGAAGUGAAAACUAUGGGCUCAACCCAUAAAUUGCUUUCAAAACUGCUGGCCUUGAGUAGUGCAGAGGUAGGUGGAAUUCCCGGUGUAGCGGUGGAAUGCGUAGAUAUCGGGAGGAACACCAGUGGCGAAGGCGACCUACUGGGCACCAACUGACGCUGAGGCUCGAAAGCAUGGGUAGCAAACAG
rnacentral:rRNA from 1 species